ensembl:lncRNA
UUAAAAAUCACAGUGAGGUAAUUUAUUCAGUUCAGUUCUAAGACAUCACAAUAGCAACACACUCUGACGCUGUGUUGUGCAUCCACUUUCCUUGAGAAGGUUUAACGUGUUUUCGCUUUUCUUCAGCAGGUACAGACAGGUCCAUUCUAAAACAGCUUGGUUCUUAAUGUGCGUUCGGUGUGUUUCUGAAUGUUGGUGGUUAGACUUUUAACAAUAAAAAAUUUAGUUUGGACAGUAGCUUACCAAAGUCCUUUAUCAAACACAUGAAGUCUGGUUUCCCAAAACACUGAAAAUCACAAAUCAAUCUCGGGGGGAAAAUGUGGGAAUAAAAACAACUUGCAAUUUUACAUAUCCUUGAGGUGCCAUUAUUUAGAAAGUAGCCUAAAGUGUUAAAGAAAGCUUCAAAACCACGUUUUUGUAAGCAGUUGUAUAUUUUACUGUUGUGCUUGCUGGUCUGUCUUCCUCCUACAACAUUCACCCUGAUCCAGAUUGACACCAUCAUUACUAGACGCUUUUUCAAACUUUGCUGUUUCGUUCGUUUGAACCACUGAGGCAGUCCAACGCAGACCUGAAAGGAAAAGAUUUGGGCAGAGCAGUAGUAGAUGAGGCAGUGUUGUUGUAAGUCUUCUAGUGUUUUGGUGAUAGAAACCAGUGUGUAUUAGAAAUGAACUGGUAACCUGGGUUACCUUUGGUCCGGCAUUGAUUUAAUAUUCCUUUGACAUUUUCGUUUUUGGUUUUUUUUUGGAAUUUAAGGACAGUAGUAAAGUUUAAAAUAAAAAAUGUUUCCUUACAAAAAAACUAAAACAGAAAUGCUCUUUGAACAAAUUUCAUAAUGUCUGUUUUUCCUCAUUUAAAUUUAGAAAAAGAGUUUGGUCGAAUUGAACGAAUUCAUUGAAAAACAGACCCAGUGUAUUGUGGUUGGAAGCUGCAGACAGGGCUGCAGCCUCCAGUUUGCAUUCACAAUACCCACUUGAAGACCCAGGAAGUACAUUCUCUCCCUUAACGUCUCUGAGAACAUGUAUGGUGGCUUUUUUUACAUUUGGAGGCUUUCGACAUCGUUUUUCUCUAAAUGUGUGGUUGGUAAUAUGAUGCAAAGAUUGUAUGUUUUUCCACAAAUGAUAAUAUUCUAGUCAUGUCGUCAUGGCAUGCAAAAUACAGAUCAGAAAAUACAUACAGGGUUAGUUUGGCUUGGUGACCUGUUCAAACUGGCUAGUGAAGAAAAAUAAGGUUGCCCCACACAGUGAGCACAGAUAGUUUGAAAGCGACACACAGAGAACCACACCGUGAACACUGUGUGGUUCUGCCCAAUUGUAAGACUUGUACAUUAAAAACAAAGAAAACAGCAAACAGUAACUUACUAUGUAUCCACAAGUGUGCUAGUGUGAAAAUGCUAUGGCAGUUAGUGAGUGGCAAACACACAAAGUCAUUAUGCCCAAUAAAUCUCAAUACAAACACAAGUCACCCGUCAAUGUGGAAAACGGGAGCGUAUCUAUGUUCCCCGGGGUCCUAUGUUCCCCGCUUUGUAUGUGACCGGGGAACAUAGGCAGCUAAUCUUCUUUUCGUAGGAUGGUAGGGGCAAGUACCGCCUUUUUCACCUCUGAUUCGCCUGUGAUUGGUUAGAAUGGCUCUCCUCCGAUUGGUUAUGGUUAGGGUUAGGUUUAGGGUUAACCCUCACCCUAACCCUAACCAUAACCCUAAACCUGACCCUAACCCUUUGCACCCGGGGAACAUAGGACCCGGGGGAACAGAGGGAUGACCCCGUAGAAAAUCUGUUAGCCGCGAAAUACGUGUCGUGCUAACCAGGCUGUGGCUAUAUUGGCAAUGUAGCAACACAGUCGUGCUAAUGCUAACGCUAACACCGUCUCUGCACGUCGUUGGCCUUACGGCCUUGAGGACAGAAACUUCUGGUUAAAUGCUAUUUUCUGAUUGAACAAAACAGUGGAGAUGAAGGAAAACAAAAGCCUCUUAUUUAGCUUUUUCUUCGCCUCUUUAAUCUCUUCUAAUGUCUGAGAGGUAAGCCCACCCUGUAGGUGUUUCGGGACAACAUUUGGUUUUGGUUUGUGUGUUGAUUUGGGUCUCGAUGUUGUGUUGUGGUGCUGGUGACGUUUAUGUGACAGGAAGUAUUGUGUCUGUGCUGGGGUGAAUAUAUUUAUAUAUAUUUUAUAUAAUAUAUCAAC